rnacentral:tRNA from 3 species
GGGCUUGUAGCUCAGCGGUAGAGCAAUUCCUUUGCAAGGAAGAGGUCGGAGGUUCGAAUCCUCUCAAGUCCACCA